AUUGAACGCUGGCGGCAUGCCUUACACAUGCAAGUCGAACGGCAGCACGGGUGCUUGCACCUGGUGGCGAGUGGCGAACGGGUGAGUAAUACAUCGGAACGUACCUUAUCGUGGGGGAUAACGCAGCGAAAGCUGUGCUAAUACCGCAUACGCCCUGAGGGGGAAAGCGGGGGAUCGAAAGACCUCGCGCGAUUAGAGCGGCCGAUGCCUGAUUAGCUUGUUGGUGGGGUAAAAGCCCACCAAGGCGACGAUCAGUAGCUGGUCUGGGAGGACGAUCAGCCACACUGGGACUGAGACACGGCCCAGACUCCUACGGGAGGCAGCAGUGGGGAAUCUUGGACAAUGGGGGCAACCCUGAUCCAGCAAUGCCGCGUGAGUGAAGAAGGCCUUCGGGUUGUAAAGCUCUUUUGUCAGGGAAGAAACACCGGCUCUAACACAGUCCGGGAAUGACGGUACCUGAAGAAUAAGCACCGGCUAACUACGUGCCAGCCGCCGCUGUAAGAC
rnacentral:rRNA from 1 species